GUUUUAGUGAGUCUGUAAUGCAAUUUCCAAACUGUAUACUUACCAUAAGUAUCCUCACCCUAGACCACUGACUGCGAUUUCACUGCUGUCUCGGCAUAUACAGGGUCAGACAAAACUAAACUUAUAAUGAAAUCACCAUGCUAUCUUGGCCAUUUUCUUUUCGUUUUCCAUACCAGUGAUAGGUCAGCAUGGUUAGGUUUCCUUAAAGUGUUUGAAUAUCUUAUUGAAUAGAGCUCUUCAAAUGUUCAAGUCCUACACUGCUAGCCAGGACUUA